CGGGGUGGAGUAAUGUCUGGAAACGUAGCCUGAUGGAGGGGGGAAAUAGCUGGAAACGGUAGCUAAUACCGCAUAACGUCGCAAGACCAAAGAGGGGGACCUUCGGGCCUCUUGCCAUCGGAUGUGCCCAGAUGGGAUUAGCUAGUAGGUGGGGUAACGGCUCACCUAGGCGACGAUCCCUAGCUGGUCUGAGAGGAUGACCAGCCACACUGGAACUGAGACACGGUCCAG
rnacentral:rRNA from 1 species